rnacentral:rRNA from 1 species
AACGAACGCUGGCGGCAUGCCUAACACAUGCAAGUCGAACGAGACCUGCGGGUUUAGUGGCGCACUGGUGCGUAACCCGUGGGAACCUGCCCUUAGGUUCGGCAUAACUCCCCGAAAGACGUCCUAAUACCGGCUCAUAUACUCCGACCAAAGAUGUAUCGCCUUUGGAUGGGCCUGAGUUGGAUUAGCUAGUUGGUAGGGUAAAAGCGUAUCAAGGCGACGAUCCAUAGCUGGUUAGAGAGGAUGGUCAGCGACACUGGGACUGAGAAACGGCCAAGACUCCUGCGGGAGGGAGGAGUGGGGAAUAUUGGACAAUGGGCGAUAGGCUGAUCCAGCAAUGACGCGUGAGUGAUGAAGGCCUUAGGGUUGGAAAGCUCUUUUACCCGGGAUGAUAAUGACGUUACCGGGAGAAUAAGCUCCGGCUAACUCCGUG